ACCUCGGAUCAGGUAGGGAUACCCGCUGAACUUAAGCAUAUCAAUAAGCGGAGGAAAAGAAACCAACAGGGANUGCCCUAGUAACGGCGAGUGAAGCGGCAACAGCUCAAAUUUGAAAGCUAGCCUUCGGGUUCGCAUUGUAAUUUGUAGAGGAUGAUUUGGGGAAGCCGCCUGUCUAAGUUCCUUGGAACAGGACGUCAUAGAGGGUGAGAAUCCCGUAUGUGACAGGAAAUGGCACCCUAUGUAAANUCUCCUUCGACGAGUCGAGUUGUUUGGGAAUGCAGCUCUAAAUGGGAGGUAAAUUUCUUCUAAAGCUAAAUAUUGGCGAGAGACCGAUAGCGCACAAGUAGAGUGAUCGAAAGAUGAAAAGCACUUUGGAAAGAGAGUUAAAAAGCACGUGAAAUUGUUGAAAGGGAAGCGCUUGCAAUCAGACUUGUUUAAACUGUUCGGCCGGUCUUCUGACCGGUUUACUCAGUUUGGACAGGCCAGCAUCAGUUUCGGCGGCCGGAUAAAGGCUCUGGGAAUGUGGCCUCCACUUCGGUGGAGGUGUUAUAGCCCAGGGUGUAAUACGGCCAGCCGNGAC
rnacentral:rRNA from 1 species